UCCCGUUUUGGUAAUACUGCCUA
rnacentral:siRNA from 1 species